rnacentral:rRNA from 1 species
UACCCGCGGCCCGAGUGGUGCUCAUUAUUAUUGAGCUUAAAGCGUCCGUAGCCGGCCUCGUAAAUCUUUGGGUAAAUCGGGCAGCUCAACUGUUCGAAUUCCGAGGAGACUGCGAGGCUCGGGACCGGGAGAGGUCAGAGGUACUCUCGGGGUAGGGGUAAAAUCCUGUAAUCCUGAGAGGACCACCAGUGGCGAAGGCGUCUGACGAGAACGGAUACGACGGUGAGGGACGAAGCCCUGGGGCGCAAACGGG